rnacentral:rRNA from 1 species
AGUGAACGCUGGCGGUAGGCCUAACACAUGCAAGUCGAACGGCAGCACAGUAAGAGCUUGCUCUUACGGGUGGCGAGUGGCGGACGGGUGAGGAAUACAUCGGAAUCUACUUUUUCGUGGGGGAUAACGUAGGGAAACUUACGAUAAUACCGCAUACGACCUACGGGUGAAAGCAGGGGAUCUUCGGACCUUGCGCGAUUGAAUGAGCCGAUGUCGGAUUAGGUAGUUGGCGGGGUCAAGGCCCACCAAGGCGACGAUCCGUAGCUGGUCUGAGAGGAUGAUCAGCCACACUGGAACGGAGACACGGUCCAGACGCCUACGGGAGGCAGCAGUGGGGAAUAUUGGACAAUGGGCGCAAGCCUGAUCCAGCCAUACCGCGUGGGUGAAGAAGGCCUUCGGGUUGUAAAGCCCUUUUGUUGGGAAAGAAAAGCAGCAGGUUAAUACCCCGCUGUUCUGACGGUACCCAAAGAAUAAGCACCGGCUAACUUCGUG